rnacentral:misc_RNA from 1 species
UCAAACUUGGUCAUUUAGAGGAAGUAAAAGUCGUAACAAGGUCUCCGUUGGUGAACCAGCGGAGGGAUCAUUAUAGAGUCUUCUGAACUCCAAACCUUUGUGAACAUAUCAUGUUGCUUCGGCGGGUUGCCGGGCGGCCCAGUGCCCCCAGCGUCGCCCGCCGAGGACCCCAAACUAUUGUAUUCUAGCGGAAUCUUCUGAGUAUACACAAAUAAGUAAUCAAAACUUUCAGCAACGGAUCUCUUGGCUCUGGCAUCGAUGAAGAACGCAGC